rnacentral:rRNA from 1 species
UAGGGAAUCUUCCACAAUGGACGCAAGUCUGAUGGAGCAACGCCGCGUGAGUGAAGAAGGUUUUCGGACCGUAAAGCUCUGUUGUUGGUGAAGAAGGAUAGAGGUAGUAACUGGCCUUUAUUUGACGGUAAUCAACCAGAAAGUCACGGCUAACUACGUGCCAGCAGCCGCGGUAAUACGUAGGUGGCAAGCGUUGUCCGGAUUUAUUGGGCGUAAAGCGAGCGCAGGCGGAAGAAUAAGUCUGAUGUGAAAGCCCUCGGCUUAACCGAGGAAUUGCAUCGGAAACUGUUUUUCUUGAGUGCAGAAGAGGAGAGUAGAACUCCAUGUGUAGCGGUGGAAUGCGUAGAUAUAUGGAAGAAUACCAGUGGCGAAGGCGGCUCUCUGGUCUGCAACUGACGCUGAGGCUCGAAAGCAUGGGUAGCGAACAGGAUUAGAUACCCUGGUAGUCCAUGCCGUAAACGAUGAGUGCUAAGUGUUGGGAGGCUUCCGCCUCUCAGUGCUGCAGCUAAACGCA